UACAGAGGUCUCAAGCGUUGUUCGGAUUCAUUGGGCGUAAAGGGUGCGUAGGUGGCGCUGUAAGUCGGGUGUGAAAUUCGGAGCCUAACUCCGAAACUGCAUUCGAUACUGCGGUGCUUGAGGACUGGAGAGGAGACUGGAAUUCAUGGUGUAGCAGUGAAAUGCGUAGAGAUCAUGAGGAGGACCAGUGGCGAAGGCGGGUCUCUGGACAGUUCCUGACGCUGAGGCACGAAGGCCAGGGGAGCAAACGGG
rnacentral:rRNA from 1 species